rnacentral:lncRNA from 1 species
UGGGAUUGGGUGUACCCAGGCCCGCCUGCCUGCGGCCCAGGUGCGGAGACUGGUUUUUCAGAAAAUAAUUUCCAGAAAACACGUAUUUCCAGAAAAUAAUCACUUGAUAUAGAAUAUCCAAGCAAAAAUACAAAAUCCGGGCUACAAGACAAUGCAGGUCUACUGGUUUGGACAAAACUCUAAGGCUGACGGUAGAAGCGACUCGAGGAAUCUCCAGCGCCCACAAGACUCCAUUCCCACAGGAACAUCAGACGUGGAUAAAUACUUAUUUCACAAUGCUCCUAUCCUUCACUCCUAGAUUUCGGGUUGACGGCAUUGUGCUCCUCUCUGAAAGCAAUCUGGCCAAAACAAUAGCCAUGGACAAGCGAGUAAGUACUUUGAAUGUACCGGCAAAUAUCAAGAAAACAGAUAAGUUGAAGCAGGUGAGAUGCAUGCCUAAUCCACUUAAUAACUAUAUCAUGCCAUAAGAAUUGAUUCACGGAUGUAUUUCAUGCCGAUAAACUAUUUCCACCAAUGUUGUAUAAACGAGCAAGGAAAGGUAAUAAUGAAUAAGUAAUAGCAUGCGUGCCUCAGUCGGGCGUCGGUGCGACACCACCUAAAGGGCUCACAUGCAAGUAAUAAUAGUUGCCACCAUCGGGCGUCUAAGCGACACCACUAAAAGGGCUUAUAUGAAAGAAAUAAUAGUUGCCACAGUCGGGCGUCUAAGCGACACCACGGAAAGGGCUUACAAGACAUAAUAAUGAGGAUGCAACAGUCAGGCGUCUGAGCGACACCACAUAAACGGCUUAUCAGAAAUAAUAACGAGAAUGCCACAGUCGGGCGUCUAAGCGGCACCAGAGAAAGGGCUUAUGUGAAACAAUAAUAAAUAUUGAAUAUCCACGAGGUAGAAACGUCGCACGGAUAUUCAACAUUUAUAAUUGUCAGGGUUAGUCCACAGUAAAAAUAAUAGUACGAUCAUCCACCACAUUUCAUGAUUAGUCUCACGCUUUCGUUAACUUCCUCCGAAGACCGACACUCAGACCGACACUUGACUAGUCAACCAGUCAUCCUUGACCGUGGACACGGCUACUCGAAUAGUUUUUACUAUGCAGAGGGUGUACUCUUUACCCACAGCCCAUGGGUUUCAAUGGUCACUCUGACUAAUCCCGCGUACGGUAUUUUAGAAGUAAACUCUCAGAACUAGUACACACCCAUUUUUUCCCCGGGAAGACUGGCAUCACCCGGGCUGCGCUACCAUGGAAAAAUCAUAAGAUGGGGAGGCUCCAACCUCGACUAGCAUGCGAUCAAAUUUAUACCGCGCGCUACAAGGGCAUGGCCAUUCCUUGUCGGUCCCAGACUAGAAACACCCAUUCCCCCUGGCCGGAUGACUGGAUUAAGUCCAGGGCCAUGGAUACCUUCGUCCCAACAAUAGCGACACCACAGACCGGAAACACCCAUUAUGACCUACUAGAGUGUAUUCCCUUUCAGAAAGACCUUUGGCAGCACGGAAGCUAAGGUCACACACAGAAAAGACUCAAUCUAUGGUGGACUUAGGAGGAUUAAGAUUUUCUUGCAAGGUUAGUACCACAAAAUCUUGCUGAAACAAUUAAUUCAGUGUCACUACCAUCACAUCCGGUAUGCUCUCACUGACCACUCUCGUCCCACGAGGUAUCGGUCCAUGGUAUCACGUUAUCCACGUGUCGGUGCACUGAAGACUGGGGUCCCCAGAGCCCCGGACUAGUGCGCGGACACCGACAACCCCUCCACAGCGGCAAGGCGCGUCGUUGGAGCAUUGGGCGGAAGCAAGACUCAGAAGCCCACCGAGUAUGGAUUUCAAGCCCCCGGCAAGCACCCGCUUGUUGGGAAUGAAGAAGAGACCCAGGCAGGAGCUCCCUGUCAGGGAGAUGGACAAUGUAAAUGCGAGACUCUCCCACCAAAGAAGAAGGACUGAGCCCUGGCAAGCCAUCCUUGCUAGGAAGAUUGACAAGGCAUCGGCAGGCCAUCACCUCAUUGCCGAGAGGAACAAGAAAAGCCCCCGACAAGGUAACCCUCCCGGGAAGGAAAAGAAGGCCCGAAGAGAGGCGCGGGCCCAGGGCGCCUUCGCGUCCUGUGAACGCCUCCACUGACGAACCCGCCACUGCCGAUGCAUCGACCACGCGUCCACCCGCACGCGAGUGCAACACCCCAAAGUUUCCACGUGUGGGUACGUGUCCAACCCCCUGUGACGAGGCCAGGGAAGUUUGUCGAAGCAUUUAAUGCACCGCAGUAACACUUUGGUGGUCGGUGGGUGCUGUUCCUCUCGUGAACCCACCAUUCUCCCGCUAAGCCACUAUGGUGACCCCUUCGCCUGUAAAAGGAGGCCCGAGGCUCAGUAGAAAGGACUUUUCGCAUUUUGACCAAUCAAAAGGCUAUAAGAGGGACAUAUGUACAGUAAACUAAAACGAAUAACUAAAUACAUGCGGGAGUAGGGUUUUAUGCAUGGGUAAAAAUGACCAUGGCGGGCCCUGACUUUUGGUUCUCCUCUUGCUGCGACCCCUCUCCACGCCAAACCAGCAAAAGGGGACCGUUGAGGUCCCUAUAGGUGUCGAUCCCUUUGACCGACAUCUUUGGCGCGCUAGGUAGGGGGAUCGCCGGAAGGAGGCUGGUGUCAGCGAUGCCCAAAUCCGACGAGCCGUUUGACGGAUCCAUGGAUCUCAGUUCACCGUGGCAUCUUCCCAAAGCGGGAGGAGGUAGUGGCUGCUCUGCCCGCAUGCGAGAGCACAUAGCACCUCCAUGGGUGCUAUGCGAGCGCGGGUGGAAGGAGCGGAAGCCCCAAGCUCUGCAUCGCCUGGCCAACACACCCCCUUCGAACGCUCGUGCUGCUUCCGAGGGUGUGACAAGGGGCCUCGGCCAGGCCUCCGACACUUGCUCCGGCCGUCGCACAUCUCCGGAGUGUUGCAUGGUCGUCGAGGACGCGUCGAGGCCCCAAACCUCCCCUAUACGCGCCCUCUGGCUCGCAUUUCUCGUUCGAGCGUUGUGACGCCAGAAAGAUGCGCUCGGGGACUCCGCCAGCAAAUCUCUUGCAAAAGAGAUGAGAAAGCAAUUCACCCCGUCAUGCCUCUUUACUUCAUAGUGGCCAAAGGCCACCUGCGAGAACCUCAUCGGUAAAGAGGCCGCUGGAGGCAACAUCAGCUUGCCGGGGGUAGGGAUAUUCAUCCCCGGCAGCACCUUCAAAUGUUGCGGCUAGGAAUGCCGCGACGCGCGAGAUAAAUAUAGUGGCAAACUUCUUGCCAGACUCUUGGUAGAUUAGUUGUAUCCUUUUGAAGCAUCGAUGUUUGUAUGAGAAUCCAGCGUGCAUAUGGACCUUGCUAGGAUUAGUGCACUCCGAUUUCGUUUCAAGCUUGGUCAACGACAUGAGCGGCCAAAGAGCGCCAUCAUCUUGUUUCAAACUCGUUCAACGUUUCGGACGGCUACGUAGCACCAUAUUUCACCACGAGCCGCGCUCGACGAUUUAAAUGCUUGCACUGAGUGCGGCAAGGAUUCUUGCCGGUGAUGACCUCCUCCAUUGAGUUUUCUGAGAAUUCGUUCCUCUAAGUUCUCGGGGCAGGAUAAGUCAAGCCGGCAAGCAUCCGGAACGUGCAAAGAAAAAAUCAUACAAAAUAAUAGUCGAAUAAAGGAUGCAUCUAUUCAUUCAUUUGUCUGGAUACAUUUGAUACCACUUACGAAGCAUUGUUGUCCUAACCUAAAGACACUUUCUUUUGACGAGGGACGACCAAUGCGAAGGGGUGAAGUUCAAAAACAUAAAAAGUGGGACAGCCCCCGGCGCAACCCAGGCUGGUCCCUCCUGGACCAGCAUUGUGCAGUGGAGAGCAGCGGCAGAGGACAGGGCGACCGAAGAAGAUGAACGGGUCGGAGCCAAUGGUCGCGCCUCCUCAAAGACGAGGCAUCGAUGCGGGUUCCGACAUGGUGCCCCCGCUAUGUGGGGGAAUGGCGUGAGCAGGCCUCGGCGGCAAGGCCAGCUCGGAGGCCACCCUCCUCGCUCCAGAAUCCGCUGCCCCUCUCGCCCAAUCGCCCUCAAGUCAUGAGCAGAACAUGGAACCGCUCUGAUGCGCCAAUGCAUGCAGGGGCGGGUCCAUCCACGCCCGCAGCUUUUGAGGCCACGAUCGCCACUUGCCCGACCACCGCUGCGCAUGUCCUGCAUGUGGCAGAGGCGGUUUUAGGAAAUAAAGGGGCCACAGCGCGCAGACUGCGCACCCUCCCACUUCGCACGUUCAAUGCGCGACGUGGAGGAUUAAAGCCUAUAACGGCUCGAUUCCGAUAAGCCCGGCGCCCGCGAGUCUGCGGACCGCUUUGGCCUGGCCUAACAACACCUCGCAUGCGUGUGUGACCAGGCUCGGGGGCUCCUGUCAGUGCACUAAAGACUAGGGUCUCUAGUGCCCCGGAGUAGUGCGCGGAAAACGGCAGCCCCCUUCGCAGCGGCAAGGCACGUCGCUGGAGCAUAGAGCAUAAGCAAGACUCAGAAGCCCGCCGUGUACGGAUUGCAAGCCCCCAGCAAGCACCCGCUUGUUGGGAAUGAAGAAGAGACCCCGGCAAGAGCUCCCUGCCCGGGAGAUGGACAGUGCCAAGGCGAGACCCUCCCGCCCAAGAAGAAGGACUGAGCCCCGGUAAGCCAUCCUUGCCGGAAAGAUUGACAAGGCCUCGGCAAGCCAUCACCUCCCUGCCGAGAGCAACAAGAAGAGCCCCCAGCAAGGUAACCCCGCCGGGAAGGAAAAGAAGGCCCAAGGAGAGGCCCGGGCCCAGGGCGCCUUCGCGUCUUGUGAACGCCUCCACCGACAAACACGCCACCGCCAAUGCAUGGACCACGUGUCCACCCGCACGCUAGCUCGACACCCCGAGGUUGCCACGUGUGGGUACGUGUCCAACCGCCCCUGACGAGGUCAACGAAGUUUGUCGAAGCAUUUAAUGCACCGAAGUAACACUGUGGUAGUCGGUGGGCGGUGUUCCACUCGUGAACCCAUCGUUCACCCGCUGAGCCACUUUGGUGACCCCUUCGCCUUUAAAAUGAGUCCCGAGGCUUAGUAGAAAGGACUCUUGGCUUUUUGACGAAUCGAAAGGCUAUAAGAGGGACAACUCUACAGUAAACUAAAACUAUCAGUAGAAUGGAGGAGGGUUUUACGCACAACGCGGCUCGAACCUGGGUAAAAACGACCUUGUCGGGCCUUGACUUUUGGUUCUGCUCUUGCCGCGACCCCUCUCCCCGCCAAACCAGCAAAAGGGACCAUUGUGGUCCCCAUUGGUGUCGAUCCCUUUCCCCGACACCACGAAAUACCUCCCUCUAGGUUGUCCAGACCCAGAUAGCAUAUGAGGCACGAGGUAGUACCCACUUAACAUUUGCAUCCCGUAUGUUUGGCAACAUAAUUAUUCAUCACAAACACUCAUGCAAGUAUGAAUUUAUGUGGGUUUAUUAAUCAGCAUAACCCAAAAUCAUGCAAUCAAUGCACCAUAGAAAACAUCACACAACUUCAUACAAAUCAGAGUUCAAGAUGCUUGCCUUUGGAGUUUGAGGAUGGUGAUGUGUAACCCAAAAUCUUGAAGUAAGUCUCCUCUCUCCAAAUCCUAUUUUAAAAUUAUUUGAAUUAACACGCAAAUCCAAAACAACACAUAAAAUUUGUUUGAAUAUUUUUGAAAUAAAUUUGUAAUUAGACUAGAGGAAAUUUAAGAGAGGUAGGAAAAAUGAUCAAUUGAUUCGGGGUCAUGGUUUAAAGAUUAUAAGUGGUCAAAGAUCAGUCAGACUCCUGUUUUAAAAGAAAACAGAGAAAAUGAAACGCUUCGGGGAUAAUACGUUACUGUAAUCGAAAGCGCACUCGCGACGUAUAUGCCUUGUGUGCGGGGACUUGCUUCCCUGGGGUUAUGCAACCGGCGGCUCGGCUGGUUCAUUAACAGGCGGGGUCCAGCUGUCUGGUUUGUCUCCUUCCUCUCGCACACUGCGACAUAACCAGGGCAGGCUCCGCCGGUGAUUCCCUACGGCACCGACCAGCGUUCCCGGUGUCGACCUAUCUAUGAGCUCAGGAGUAUUGCCCGCAUCGCAUAGAAGGGGUAGACGCGACCGGGGAGCUCCAGGUUGGGCAUGGCUUCGGUCAUGGCGUAUGGCGGCGUCGGGAGAGAAAGGGACCUCAUCAACGGUGGUCCUCUAAAUUGGGAUCGGGGAUGGGUUCCUCAGUGUAGCAGGAGGCUAGAGGAGUCCUUAGGGACGAGUGGCGGCUCUGCACAUAGCCGGAGGUGCCAGCGGGACGGCGGCGGUGCUGCGGCUGGAGGUGGGCAGGGAGAGAGAGCUCUAGUUGAAUUGAAGUGAGGGGAGAGGGUUGCGGGCUGUG